GAGUCCGCUGAACUUAAGCAUAUCAAUAAGCGGAGGAAAAGAACCAACAGGGAUUGCCCUAGUAACGGCGAGUGAAGCGGCAACAGCUCAAAUUUGAAAUCUGGCCUCACGGUCCGAAUUGUAAUUUGUAGAGGAUGUUUCUGGCGACGUGUCUUCCGAGUUCCCUGGAACGGGACGCCAUAGAGGGUGAGAGCCCCGUCCGGUCGUACACCUAGCCUCUGUGAAACUCCUUCGACGAGUCGAGUAGUUUGGGAAUGCUGCUCUAAAUGGGAGGUAUACGUCUUCUAAAGCUAAAUACCGGCCAGAGACCGAUAGCGCACAAGUAGAGUGAUCGAAAGAUGAAAAGCACUUUGAAAAGAGGGUUAAAUAGUACGUGAAAUUGCUGAAAGGGAAGCGCUUAUGACCAGACUUGGGCUCGGUGAAUCAUCCGGCGUUCUCGCCGGUGCACUUUGCCGUCCCAGGCCAGCAUCAGUUCGCGCCGGGGGAUAAAGGUUUCGGGAAUGUAGCUCCCUCGGGAGUGUUAUAGCCCGUUGCGUAAUACCCUGGCGUGGACUGAGGUCCGCGCUCUGCAAGGAUGCUGGCGUAAUGGUCAUCAGUGACCCGUCUUGAAACACGGACCAAGGAGUCGUCUUCGUAUGCGAGUGUUCGGGUGUCAAACCCCUACGCGUAAUGAAAGUGAACGUAGGAGAGAGCUUCGGCGCAUCUCCGACCGAUCCUGAUGUUCUCGGAUGGAUUUGAGUAAGAGCAUACGGGGCCGGACCCGAAAGAAGGUGAACUAUGCCUGUAUAGGGUGAAGCCAGAGGAAACUCUGGUGGAGGCUCGCAGCGGUUCUGACGUGCAAAUCGAUCGUCAAAUAUGGGCAUGGGGGCGAAAGACUAAUCGAACCUUCUUUGGGGG
rnacentral:rRNA from 1 species